rnacentral:rRNA from 1 species
GACGAACGCUGGCGGCGUGCCUAAUACAUGCAAGUAGAACGCUGAAGGAGGAGCUUACUUCUCUGGAUGAGUUGCGAACGGGUGAGUAACGCGUAGGUAACCUGCCUGGUAGCGGGGGAUAACUAUUGGAAACGAUAGCUAAUACCGCAUAAGGGUAGAUGUUGCAUGACAUUUACUUAAAAGGUGCAAUUGCACCACUACCAGAUGGACCUGCGUUGUAUUAGCUAGUUGGUGGGGUAACGGCUUACCAAGGCGACGAUACAUAGCCGACCUGAGAGGGUGAUCGGCCACACUGGGACUGAGACACGGCCCAGACUCCUACGGGAGGCAGCAGUAGGGAAUCUUCGGCAAUGGACGGAAGUCUGACCGAGCAACGCCGCGUGAGUGAAGAAGGUUUUCGGAUCGUAAAGCUCUGUUGUAAGAGAAGAACGAGUGUGAGAGUGGAAAGUUCACACUGUGACGGUAUCUUACCAGAAAGGGACGGCUAACUACGUGCCAGCAGCCGCUGUAA